CUAGGGCUAGGCCGGCGCUUUUCUCUUCGCCUGGAUCCCGUGAGUCCCCUUUCCUUCGCGCCAAAUCAACUUCUUCCCGCGCCAGAGCCAAAUUCCUGAACCUCCUCUAAAAAUCGAGCGCCCCGCGUCAAAUCCCCCAAUUCCCCAAAAAUCGAGCCCCCACUCAAGAACCCUAGAGGCCCAGCCCGCCACCGCCCUCUGCGAGAUGACCGGAAAAUCCAAGAGGACAACUGCACCGGUGCCUCUGGAGUUCCCAUGGCCGACGGCUCAGCCCGUCCCGCUGCCAGCAGCUCACCCCGUCCCGCCUCCGGCCGCUCAAUCUGGCGCUCCACUGCCGGCCAUCCCUUCCAUGUUUGCAACUGGGUCAUGGUUACCAGCGCAACCACCACAGUCCAUGGCGGCCACCACUCCACCGUGUUGGCUCCCUGGGGUACCUCAACCGGGCGAUUUGUAAGCUCAAGGCCCAUGGUGGACACCGCCCACUGGAAUUGGAGUCUCAGCACAAUCUACACCCACGGCUGGGAAUCUUGAUGCGUACAAUCUGCAAGCUUGGGGAUUGGAUUCUCACCCGCCUGGUGAUUUCCUUGGUUUCUUUACAAACACAUCAAGCCACAAACAAAAUGUGGAAAAUGGGACUUCAUCGCAGCCAAUCAAAGUUAGUGAUGACACCAAUGGUGACAACCGUGCAAGGACUGAAAAACAUUUGCUAUGGACAAAAGAGGAGGAUCUUAGAUUGGUCAGUGCUUGGUUGAAUAAUUCAAACGACCCAAUCCAAUCAAAUUAUAGGAAGAACGAGCAAUAUUGGAAAGAGGUUGCUACUUGCGACGCCCCACACAGGAGGAUGUCGAGCGUCUACUUCAGGUUAACGAGUCUCGUGGGUUCCCUGGAAUUCUAGGAAGUAUUGAUUGCAUGCACUGGCGAUGGGAAAAGUGUCCUCUAGCAUGGAGGGGGCAAUUCACCCGUGGGGAUUAUGGAGUUCCAACAAUGGUCCUAGAAGCCGUUGCUUCCCAGGACCUUCAUAUUUGGCAUGCUUUCUUUGGAGUUGCUGGGUCAAACAACGAUCUUAAUGUGCUCAACUAGUCCUCGUUGUUUUUCGAUGCAUUGAAAGGAGAAGCCCCUCAAGUUCAGUUUUCUGUAAAUGGGAAUGAGUAUACCACGGGUUACUACCUUGCUGAUGGUAUAUACCCAGAGUGGGCUGCCUUCAUGAAGACUAUACCACUUCCCCAAACAGAGGAGCACAAGUUGUUUGCCCAGUUCCAAGAAGCGCCGAGGAAAGAUGUGGAGCGUGCUUUCGGGGUAUUGCAGUCCCGUUUUACCGUUGUCCGGCGGCCUGCAUGUCUAUGGAAGAGAAAGAGUGUUGGAAGGAUCAUGCUAGCUUGUGUUAUUCUUCACAAUAUGAUAGUCGAAGAUGAGAAAGAGCAGGCUACCAUUCAUAUUGACUUGAAUGAGAAUCCAGGAGCACCAAUUGCUCUACCUCCUGAAGUUAAUGUUGGUGGUAAUCUAUGUUUCGCUGAUGUGCUACGUAGAAAAGCCAAAAUCCGUGCUCGUCCACAACAUACCCAGCUUAAAAAUGAUUUGAUUCAGCAUAUUUGGCAUAAGUUUUGAAAUAACCAUCAUAAUUAGUCAUGGACUAUGCCAUGAUGUGGUGAUUGCUGCAGGUUCUACCUACAGGUUGUUGUUGUUGCUGUUCCUUCUACCGAUGCUCCAACUAUGGCUUUGUGGCUUUAUCAUCUUCAAGAUCAAAUUGAUGUCUUGUUUGCUGGACACCGUAUCUGUUAUUUUGUUUGGUCCAUGCUUUCUUCUAAAGAGUCAUGUACUGUUUAAUUGUCAAUGUCAAUGGUGCUAAGUAUUAUGUUUGGAUAUACUCAAUGUUGAAGAGUUGGUAUGGUCUAUGAAACAUAUGUUUGUUGUUUCUUAUGAAUCAGUUUGCCUUGUUAUAUAUUCAUGGUGUGGCUGG